AUUGAACGCUGGCGGAAUGCUUUACACGUGCAAGUCGAACGGCAGCACGGACUUCGGUCUGGUGGCGAGUGGCGAACGGGUGAGUAAUACAUCGGAACGUGCCCAGUCGUGGGGGAUAACGUAGCGAAAGCUACGCUAAUACCGCAUACGAUCUAAGGAUGAAAGCGGGGGAUCGCAAGACCUCGCGCGAUUGGAGCGGCCGAUGGCAGAUUAGGUAGUUGGUGGGGUAAAGGCUCACCAAGCCGACGAUCUGUAGCUGGUCUGAGAGGACGACCAGCCACACUGGGACUGAGACACGGCCCAGACUCCUACGGGAGGCAGCAGUGGGGAAUUUUGGACAAUGGGCGAAAGCCUGAUCCAGCCAUUCCGCGUGCAGGAUGAAGGCCCUCGGGUUGUAAACUGCUUUUGUACGGAACGAAAAGGCUCUGGUUAAUACCUGGGGCUCAUGACGGUACCGUAAGAAUAAGCACCGGCUAACUACGUGCCAGCCGCCGCCGUAA
rnacentral:rRNA from 1 species